UGUUACAGCCCCUGGCCUCUUGAGGCUGUGCAGGCUCCCUUUUGUUAUGCAGGUUCAGCUGGGAGCACACCUUCCUGAUUGGCUGCCUGGAGGCUGUAGAAGAGCAGCUGCACCAUUGGACCAGCAGAGGAUGGUCAAGCCAAUCAGACGUUGAUGAGGCUCACCUGCACCAUAAAAGGCUCCUGAAUUCAUUCCUCUAGUGGGGCAGCUAAUUUGAAGAGGUUCUGUGAAGCUGCCUCCUCUCUUUUUUUUUGGUGGUUGCAACUACUUUAAGCUAGCUUGGUCUUUGUUUGUUCCUGUUUGUUCAGUUUAGUUACUUUGACUUUGCUCCAGUUAAAUAUGAGUUAGAAGCCUGUGUUUGGGAGGCUGCGUGCUUCCCGCAGCCUCUCCUUUGUAUGUGUUUUUUUUUGUGGUUU